rnacentral:lncRNA from 1 species
CUUGAAGCUCCACCUCACUUUGAAUUCUUCUUGGCUCCUGAAGCUCCACCUCACAUUGAGCUCCCCAUUAUGUAGUAAUAUCCUUUCAUCCUCUUCUUUUUCUCUAGAAUAACCCUGUCAUCAUGCAAUACAUUCAGGAUUCCUCCACCAGCUACUGCUUUGUAGCCUUUCGAAUCUAAUUUGCUUAGUGAGAUAAGAUUCUGCUUGAAAUUAGGUAUG